rfam:Schistosoma curassoni strain Dakar, Senegal genome assembly, scaffold: SCTD_scaffold0008581
GCACUGCUGAGGAGUCCCAUACCAGGACGAAACGGCCGUCCGGUGC